CUAGCAGCCGCUCUUUUGUGUAUUCCCCUUCCUACCCUUGCUCCUUGUUCUCCAAGGCACCUGAACCUAUAUAAUGGGGUGCUUGGCUCAUGUUUUAAUAAGAUCAAUUUUAUGAGUAAAUUGCUGCCAAAUAUUGCAAGCUUUUACUCCCUUGUCUAGUCUCUCUAGGUUAGACACUUUGAUCUUCACCUCCACCUUUCUCAAAGUGAUAUGGCCCAACCAAUCACUCUCCAUACCUUUCAUGCACCUACAAGGAACCCAUAGCUCUAUAUGAGCCCUCCUUGAUCCAUCACAUCCAUUGCUUCCGCCACCCUUUUCAAAUCUCCAAGAAGAACAACCCAUCUUUUGGUAUCAACCCAUCAAACCUUAUAUAGAGGGCACCCACAAGGAGCGUCUAGGCCACACAAGAAGCGUCUAAGAGACACAAGAAGCGUCUAGGCCACACAAGGAGCGUCUAAGAGAGUUGACAUCCAAGAAGGGUGACGUCCAAGAAGGCCCAACAAAGUGUAGCUUAGUCUUAAUUGUGGUGUAAAUAGCAUAGCCUUGUGAACCUUUGUUUAAAUUCUGCAAAUUAGGAUUAAGGAGGAGUUAACCUAGAUUAUCUAGAAGCUCUCCACUAAUCUAGGACGUCCAUGUGCAAGUUAGGAGGCCAUGUGCACCCAUGUGCCAUGUGCUCCAUGUGCCUCUAUGUGCUACUCUUUUGCAUUUCAUUUGGCUUGCAUUUGCUCAUCAUUUAGGUCAUCAUAUCAGGUCCUCCUUAGCCUAUAAAAGGAGGAGCCAACCUCAUGUAUUUCAAGAUUGAAUAGAGUAUUGUUAUGCUGCCA
rnacentral:lncRNA from 1 species